UUUUUUUUUUCUUUUUUUUUUUUCAAUGCAUUAAUAAAAUCGAAUUAAUUAAAAAUUUGUAAAGAUUAUUCUUCUCCUACUUGUUGGAUAUAAUAUUGACAUCUAAAUUACUAAAUUAUUCUAUAAAAUCAUAAAUCUUAUGUAAAAUGAAGUGGGAAUGAAUUAGUCUAGCUAAUCUCAAACCACUUCGUUACUAUUUGUUAUAACCACUCUAAUUGCUUAGACGAAAAAAAAAUAUAUACCACUUUAAUUGCGCUGAUUUUUUUUAAUUAUUUAAUUCUAAUUAAAUUUC
rnacentral:misc_RNA from 1 species